UAGUCACGCCGUAAACGAUGGAUACUAGGUGUCCGGGAUAUUAACCUCCUGGGUACUACAGUUAACGCGUUAAGUAUCCCGCCUGGGGAGUACGGUCGCAAGGCUAAAACUCAAAGGAAUUGACGGGGGCCCGCACAAGCGGUGGAGUAUGUGGUUUAAUUCGAAGCAACGCGCAGAACCUUACCUACCCUUAACAUUUCACGACGUAUACAGAGAUGUAUAUUUCUCUUCGGAGACGUGAGGAUAGGUGCUGCAUGGCUGUCGUCAGCUCGUGUCGUAAGAUGUCUGGUUAAGUCCAAUAACGAGCGCAACCCUUAUCCUUAGUUACCAGCAUUAAGUUGGGGACUCUAGGGAGACUGCCGGUGUUAAACCGGAGGAAGGCGGGGAUGACGUCAAGUCCUCAUGGCCCUUACGGGUAGGGCUACACACGUGCUACAAUGGUAGGUACAGAGGGUUGCGAAACUGUGAAGUGGAGCUAAUCUCAGAAAGCCUACCCCAGUUCGGAUUGGAGUCUGCAACUCGACUCCAUGAAGGUGG
rnacentral:rRNA from 1 species